rnacentral:siRNA from 1 species
UAGGUUACUGUCAAGGAGCA